rnacentral:tRNA from 1 species
GCAGUGGUGGUACGGUGGUACAACUUUUGCCUUCCAUGCGGGAGACCUGGGUUUGAUUCCUGGCCAAUGCA